UGGGGAAUAUUGCGCAAUGGGGGCCACCCUGACGCAGCCAUGCCGCGUGAGUGAAGAAGGUCUUCGGCUCGUAAAGCACUUUAAACGGGGAAGAUGAUGACGGUACCCGUAGAAGAAGCCUCGGCUAACUUCGUGCCAGCAGCCGCGGUAAUACGAAGGGGGCUAGCGUUGUUCGGAAUUACUGGGCGUAAAGGGCGUGUAGGCGGUCCAAUCAGUCAGAGGUGAAAUCCCUGGGCUCAACCCAGGAAUUGCCUUUGAUACUGUUGGACUAGAGUUCGGGAGAGGAUAGUGGAAUUCCCAGUGUAGAGGUGAAAUUCGUAGAUAUUGGGAAGAACACCAGUGGCGAAGGCGGCUAUCUGGACCGAUACUGACGCUGAGGCGCGAAAGCGUGGGGAGCAAACAGGAUUAGAUACCCCCGUAGUCC
rnacentral:rRNA from 1 species